rfam:Triticum aestivum genome assembly, contig: Triticum_aestivum_CS42_TGACv1_scaffold_146012_2BS
CAAAUACGCCCUCCGUCCGGAAAUACUUGUCAUCAAAAUGUAUAAAAGGAAAUGAAUGUAUCUAGACGUAUUUUAGUUUUAGAUACAUCUCUUUUUAUCCAUUUUGAUGACAAGUAUUUUCGGACGGAGGGAGUAUUUA